rnacentral:rRNA from 1 species
AUGCACCGCGAUCAUCUCAAACUCGCUUGUGGAGCUCUCGCCGGCGAGGCUGCAUACGAGCUGAGUCGACUACACAGCGGAUUAAUGGUCGGACGUGGCGGUUUCCAUGAAGUUCUUAACGUCGUUGACGAGCUUCCCGGCGUCGGGGAGCUUAGGGAACAUGUAGAAGCCAUGGAUGGCGUCCGGAAACUCCACCAGCUGCACCGCCUUCCCCUUCCGCUGCAGCAUGGCGGCGUACCGCCGCUGCCAGUCCUGCAGCGGGUCGAGCCCUCCAACCACCACCAUCGCCGGCGGGAACUCCUCCGGCAACUCGGGCUCCGGACACGCCUCACCGGUCACAUGCGCCGCCGGGUGGUUCCGAUCGGCCCCCUCCGGCAGGAACGCCUUCCAGGACCAAUCCGAGCGGCGCAUGUUCACCACCGGCCCCACGCCCUCCAGCCUCAGCUCUGCUUCCGUGCGCUCCUCGCCGCCGAAGUACGGCUGCAGCAGGAUGAUGCCGGCGAGGCGGACAGGGUUAUCAGAAGCAACAGCGGCCGAGGAGGUCCAUCGGUGGGCCACGUGGUGAGCGAUGUUGCCGCCGGCGCUGUCCCCGGCGAGGAAGCAGCGGGAGAGAUCGACCGGGACGCCGAUGUCGGCAGGGAGGCCCGCGGUGCCAAGGUAGCUGAGCACAUCCGCGCAGUCAUCGUAGGCUGCGGGGUGACGGUGCUCGGGCGCGCGUCGGUAGUUGACGGAGACGACCACGGCGCCCAGCUCGCGGCAGAAGCGGCGACACAUGGCGUCCAGGGGCGCGGACGACGCGGAGAGCAGCGCAAAACCGCCACCGUGACAGUACACGACGACCGGGAGCGGCGCCGCCUCGGGUUUACCCACGGACGGGGAGAAGACGCGCGCCCAGAGGUUCCUGGCGGCGUCGACAACGACGUCGGCGGAGCGGACGCCGAGCGCGUCCGGGCGCGGCCUCGCCGGGGUCUGGCGGUCGACGAGCGAGAAGAGGAAGCGGUUCACGGUGCCGUCGCGGCGCUGCGAGAGGUCGCAGGCGGCCCCGAGCGCGAGCACCUGGAGCCGCACCGUCCACGGCAGCACCGGAGGCGCCGGCCGCGCGCUCUCGGCUCCCGCCAUCAGUUUCUUGGCUCUUCUACUUGGCCGCCUCCGUCUCGCUGCCCUUUCUCCGUUGUGCACACGAGAGAGAUUGAAUAA